rnacentral:rRNA from 1 species
UGGGAUACCACUUAGGAAACAGGUGCUAAUACCGGAUAAGAAAGCAGAUCGCAUGAUCAGCUUUUAAAAAGGCGGCGUAAGCUGUCGCUAGUGGGAUGGCCCCGCGGUGCAUUAGCUAGUUGGUAAGGUAAAGGCUUACCGAAGGCGAUGAUGCAUAGCCCGAGUUGAGAGACUGAUCGGGCCACAUUGGGGACUGAGACACGGGGCCCAAACUCCUACGGGGGGAGGGGCAGCAGGUAGGGGGAAUCUUCCACAAUGGACGCAAGUCUGAUGGAGCAACGCCGCGUGAGUGAAGUAAGGUUUUCGGAUCGUAAAGCUCUGUUGUUGGUGAAGAAGGAUAGAGGUAGUAACUGGUCCUUUAUUUGACGGUAAUCAACCAGAAAGUCACGGCUAACUACGUGCCAGCAGCCGCGGUAAU